AGAGUUUGAUCCUAGCUCAGGAUGAACGCUGGCGGUGUGGAUAAGGCAUGCAAGUCGAACGGGUCUAAUCAGACGGAAGUACGGAAUGAGUAGCAAUACGAAGGAAGUAUGGAAGUCUGACAGACUAGUGGCAGACGAGGUAGUAAUAUUUAGGAACGUACCCCGAAGUCGCGAAUAGCCCACCGAAAGGUGGAGUAAUACGCGAUAGUCUCGCAAGAGUAAAGAUUUAUCGCUUCGGGAGCGGCUUAAACAGUAUCAGCUAGUUGGUAGGGUAAAAGCCUACCAAGGCUAUGACGCUUAGGAGAGGUGAGAGCCUGACCUCCACCGAUGGGACUGAGACACGGCCCAUACACCUACGGGUGGCUGCAGUCGAGAAUCUUCCGCAAUGGACGCAAGUCUGACGGAGCGACACCGCGUGAUCGAAGAAGAGCUUCGGUUUGUAAAGAUCUUUUAUGAGGGAAGAAGUUUAUUGACGGUACCUCAUGAAUAAGGGCCUGCCAAACUCGUGCCAGCAGCAGCGGUAAUACGAGUGGCCCAAGCGUUAUCCGGAAUUAUUGGGCGUAAAGGGUAUGUAGGUGGUUAUGUUAGUCAGGUGUCUAACCUCUGGGCUCAACCUGGAGACAGCAUUUGAAACGGCAUGGCUAGAGUAUGUUAGGGGUAAGCGGAACUCAUAGUGUAGGGGUGAAAUCCGUUGAUAUUAUGGGGAACACCAAAAGCGAAGGCAGCUUACUGGAACAUUACUGACACUGAAAUACGAAAGCGUGGGUAGCGAAUGGGAUUAGAUACCCCAGUAGUCCACGCCCUAAACGAUGUUCUCUCGCUAUGUUGAGUAUCGACCCUCAACGUGGCUUAGCUAACGCGGUAAGAGAACCGCCUGGGAAGUACGAUCGCAAGAUUAAAACUCAAAGGAAUAGACGGGGACCUGCACAAGCAGUGGAUUAUGUGGUUUAAUUCGAUGGUAAACGAAGAACCUCACCAGGAUUUGAAACUCACGAGAAAGCCUAAGGAAACUCUGGCCCCCGCAAGGCUCGGGGACAGGGGGUGCGUGGCCGUCGUCAGUUCGUGGUUUGAACUGUUCCCUUCAGUGGGGUAACGAACGCAACCCUUAUCUUGUGUUACAAGUGUCACAAGAGACUGCCCAGUAAUGUGCGCAGAAGAUUCUAGAAUAUAGAAUGCAGAAUGUAGUUUGUAGAUAUCGUGCGUAGCAAUACGUACAUUGUCUGCAGGCUACAUUCUGUGUUGUAUCUUUUUUAAUCUUGUGAAUACAUUACUGGGAGGAAGGAGAGGAUGACGCCAGGUCAGCAUGUCCCUUUGACAUCCUGGGCUACACACAUAAUACAAUCGGGCGGACAACGGGUCGCGACGGGGUAACCCUGAGCCAAUCCUUCAAACCGCCCGCCAGUUCAGAUUGUGGUCUGCAACUCGACCACAUGAAGCCGGAAUUGCUAGUAAUCGCGGGUCAGCUAAACCGCGGUGAAUACGUUCUCAGGUCUUGUACUCACUGCCCGUCAACUCAAGGGAGCCGGGGAUACCCAAAGGCUUGGCUUGUCCAGGACUAAGGUAGAUUCGGUGACAGGGAGUAAGUCGUAACAAGGCACGGCUAGCGGAAGCUGGUCGUG
rnacentral:rRNA from 1 species